GGAUAAUCUUACUGCAGACUUGCUCUGCUGGAGCUGUUCCAGCAAAAGCUGUCAGAGCACUGAGACUGGCUAGCUUGAAAUAAAAAUGGUGUAAUCCAGAAAGUGCACAGAUAUGUGAAGCUGGAAAAAGGGGCAUUUGAAGAGCAAUGCAAUUUCCAUUUUGGGGAGAAGAUCAGGUUCGGAACAUUUCUACCCACAAAAGAGCAGAACUUGUUUUCACCUGCAGCCUGAAAACAGAAGGUCAGGUUUUAGCCUGGGAGAAAAAUCACUGCUCUUCUCUCCAGGGGAGUGUGCAGAGGGGAAAGAAAAACAGUGGCCAUAUCACCCUUGAAGAAUACUGGACAGCAUUUUAGGAGAAAAAGAUUAUUGUGUCACAGCAACCAGAAAAUAAGUGGGUAGUGAGAGUGAUCAAGGCUCAUCUGGAUAUUAAGGCUGUUGUUGUCAGUGACCUACAGCAACCUGCUCAUGUCUGCAAUUUUUCAACAGUUGACCUUGUCAUCCACAAGCAGCCUUGUCUCCCUCAUAUCUGACUUGUUCCUCUUCACUUCUGGGCAACACAGUCUCCAGGUAACCCUGCCAUUUCCAGGACGAGAGUACCAGGAGCUGGAGAUCCAGCCCCUCAGACUUGUGGAUGAAAGACCCAGUUGCAGUCUGUAGACACUGCAGACAGCCCCUGCUCUCAAAGACAGGACACCCAAGAAGAUUUUGGAACACUGUGAGAAGCCUAUAACAUGAAUAACUGAGAAAGAAACCUUGGAGACUUAAGCUUCUGUUUCUCUCAAAACUGAAUUUCACAUGCUAUGUUUUUGGUGGUUUUUCAUGCUGUUUUUUGGGAGGGUGGAGGAGGGGAGUGGAGGUGAAUUACAAUAUUAUUGUCAAGCGAGUUGCUAUAGGUUUGAAAACACUGGCACUCUUUUAUGUUAAUGUACAGGAUUUUAAACUGCUGGUAGUAAUAACUUGACCUCUUUAGGUCCAGUAAAACUUAUCACAGCCAUGUGAAUACAUUUUCCCCAGAAAAUCUCAGGAUUAAUACAAAAGUUUUUCAUAAUUUUUAAGGAAGUGGCUUCUAGAAUAGAAAGAGUGAUGAGAGUGCUUAGCUGAGAUGUGAAGAAAUUCAGGAUUGUCUUGUUUUCGAACCAAAUUAUUGCAAAUGUUGUUAGCUGUAAUCUGAAAGUGUGUAUGUAGAGUAUAUUUAUACAAUUCCAAUGGCUAUUCAAUCUUUGAUAUUCACUAUCACAGCAUGAUUCAGAAAAC
rnacentral:lncRNA from 7 species